ACUUUAAAUGACUCAGGAAGUAAAAGGAGGCCUCCUGACGGGGAAAAGGAAAGUGGAACCGGGGCGGCGCGGGGGACGGCGGCAGCAGCAAUCUCGCCUGGGUAGCGGGAGGCUGAGCGAGCGGGGCGACGCGGGGGCCGGCGGGGGCGCCGGGUGGCCGUGCCGGAAGUGCCCUGCGCGGCAGAGGAAGCGCAGGGACAGAGCGGAGCAGGCCGAGCAGGCAGAAGGCUCUUUGCUGCUCCGCCCGGGCAGGGGCUGCCCCGGCCCCAGGUCGCGCUUCGAGACGCGGCGCGGUCCAGGCGGGCGGCGACUCCCGAGGAAGGGACCCGAGGCGGGAGGAGGAAGUGAGGAGGCCGCGCAGAGGGAAGGCGGCGAGCCCUGAGGCCCCGAGGCCUUGACCGCGUCACAGCACUCACAUGGCCUCCGGAGUGGGCGCGGCCUUCGAGGAGCUGCCUCACGACGGCACGUGUGACGAGUGCGAGCCAGACGAGGCUCCGGGGGCCGAGGAAGUGUGCCGAGAAUGCGGCUUCUGCUACUGCCGCCGCCACGCCGAGGCGCACAGGCAGAAGUUCCUCAGUCACCACCUGGCCGAAUACGUCCACGGUGCGCAGGCCUGGACCCCGCCAGCUGACGGAGAGGGGGCGGGGAAGGAAGAAGCGGAGGUCAAGGUGGAGCAGGAGAGGGAGAUAGAAAGCGAGGCAGGGGAAGAAAGUGAGUCGGAGGAAGAGAGCGAGUCAGAGGAGGAGAGUGAGACAGAGGAAGAGAGUGAGGAUGAGAGCGAUGAGGAGAGUGAAGAAGACAGCGAGGAAGAAAUGGAGGAUGAGCAAGAAAGCGAGGCCGAAGAAGACAACCAAGAAGAAGGGGAAUCCGAGGCGGAGGGAGAAACUGAGGCAGAAAGUGAGUUUGACCCAGAAAUAGAAAUGGAAGCAGAGAGAGUGGCCAAGAGGAAGUGUCCGGACCAUGGGCUCGAUUUGAGCACCUAUUGCCAGGAAGAUAGGCAGCUCAUCUGUGUCCUGUGUCCAGUCAUUGGGGCUCAUCAGGGCCACCAACUCUCCACCCUAGACGAAGCCUUUGAAGAAUUAAGAAGCAAAGACUCAGGUGGACUGAAGGCGGCUAUGAUCGAAUUGGUGGAAAGGUUGAAGUUCAAGAGCUCCGACCCUAAAGUAACUCGGGACCAAAUGAAGAUGUUUAUACAGCAGGAAUUUAAGAAAGUUCAGAAAGUGAUUGCCGAUGAGGAGCAGAAGGCCCUUCAUCUAGUGGACAUCCAGGAGGCAAUGGCCACAGCUCAUGUGACUGAGAUACUGGCAGACAUCCAAUCCCACAUGGAUAGGUUGAUGACCCAGAUGGCCCAAGCCAAGGAACAACUUGAUACCUCUAAUGAAUCAGCUGAGCCAAAGGCAGAGGGAGAUGAGGAAGGACCCAGUUAGAUGGUGAUGGUGAGAGAAAAAGGUGGAUCACAAAUGUGAUUUAACUGAGGAUCAUCUUUACUUGGUGUGGAUAAGAACAAAGAAAAGACCAAACUUGUCAACGUACAAGAUCACCUUCCCUGGCCUUCCUCUGUCAGUCACAGUGGUGCCAGUGAAGAAGAGGACACAUGAAGGCUUGCUACCCCCAGUGGAAAAUCAUCCCCUCCCCUUGUGUGUAUGUGACAGUGUGUAUGUAACGGCUUCUGACUUCUGUGAAAGCUGCUCAGCAACAAACGUACUUCCACCAGAUGUGUCCCCAGAUCCACAGCAGGCACAUAUCUCUCCAAGGGAUGACCAGUUUUAUGCUUACUGACUGUGUGCUUCUCAUCCUCUGGUUGUGGUAGGUCAAGGAAAAGAGCCCGUUUGAUCCACCAGGAGCAAUUAAGAAGGGUCCUUCAGGUAAUCCCUCAGUGGCUGCUUUGAACUUACUCAGGAAAGUCAGCCCCCAUAAUAUUGUAUUACCCAACAGUAUCGCUUUGUUAGGAAGGAUCUGGAAUAAUCUUGAAGGAAAGUCAGAGUUUUCUCCCUGCCUAUUAACAAAAACCCAAUUUUGUUCAUAUUGAAGCGUGAAAUAAAUGAGAGCAAGGUAGGGCCACAUUGACUCAUGUGGGCAGUCCCUAAAAGUCCAGUUCUGCAUUUGUGAAAAUGUAGUGCCAUGAAUUAAGAUGGAUGACUGGAAAAAGGUGUUGGAGAAAGAGUUAAAGAUUAGGAAGAGAUAUUUUUAGUAUAUGAAGUUAUCCAGGACUUGAGAUUCAUAAUUCAGUGCUGUGGAAAUGAAAAAAAAAAAAAAAUGAUUGAAGAGGUGGAACGGAAAUGACCUUAGGGGGGAAAAAAAGGACCAAAGAAAUCUGAUUAAAAGUUGAAAUCAGUAAUUCUGAAUUCAAAUUGCUUGAAUUUCCAAAAUAGUCAGUAAAGGAUCUAAAAGAACCAGAAUUAUUUGGGUGAAUUCUGCAGGUUUUAUGGGCUUGUCACAACAUGAAGGGCUGGAAUGUAUAUUACCAAAUGGGAAUUUUCAUUGUAGGUUUUUGCUAGUCCUACCCCCAUUUUAGCCUAAUUUGGCUUAAAUGCAAUAUGGGGAAGAAUUGAUGCCACUCCAUGUGUUCUGAAUUCAGCUCAUCUCCCAGCAUAUAGAUAUAACCUCCUUUACCUCUGACCAGAACCCUUCUUCCUGUGGCACUCCCCACCCACAGACCUUCAGAUCAUCUCCAACACCCUGGAUCUCGCUCUCCUCUUAGUAACAGAGACAUACCUGAAGUUGGACUUCCUUGCUUUUCUCUACUUCCAAAUCACAAUUUCUUACAACCAAGCUUUGUACUCCCGAGUAAGCAGGGAUGUGCUAGGGGAAUGUAAAACUGCAAACUUAAAAACCUGCAUCUUCUUGAAGCAUCAGUUUUACUUACCAAAUGGUUUGGAGUCAGGAGAUGACCUAUUUUUAUAUAAAAGUUAUAUUAUAGAAUAAAAUGUUCAUACACAUAGACUGUUAAGAUAAAAAAUAGGAAUCUUGAAAGGUAAUUAUUUGCAAUUGGGUUAUAUGUUCACUCUCCUCUGCCUUUAUGGUAUUUUGGUGUUCACUUAUGAAGAAUACAACUGGAACCAUAUCCAAGCAGACUCUGGGUUGCUGCUAACCCAGGGCCUAGACUUCUAGUGCCUCUGAGGCAGAACCAAAGGAGCCUGCACCGGGGGAAAUCCCUUUUCCUGCCUGCCUGUGACCUGUGUACCUAUUACAGGGCCAGCUGAUUAUUGUGCUUGCAGGAUGGUUUUGAAACAGAAACAAUACUUGUUUACUAUUAGAGUCCUAUUUAUAUUAUUUUUCAGUCCUGUGAAUGCUGUGAAAUGAUUUAUUCUUUUGAGGCCAGGAAGCUCCCAGGCAUAUAUGCUUCUAGGUUAGGAUUGUCCUAACUCACUAAAGAUGCCAGGAUAUUGGGGCUGAGAGGAGUUUGAGAUGUUAAAAAAAAAAAAAAAAAAGCAUUUUUCUCUCAAACU